UAUGUAGGCAUGAAGUAUGUCGGAAGUAAGUUGCUUCCAAUUCCCGGUAAUGCUGUUUGUAAAUUCGAUUUGUUACUGCAUGUGAAUUAGAUUUGUGAUAAGAGUUGAAAGUUGCACUAAAAAGGUUUGAUAAGGGAAAUUGGCAUAAAAAGGACACUUUAUCAAAAUUAUCACUUAAAAAGACAUUGAUUUAUUGGAAUCGAUAAGUAACCAGUUUUGAAAACCGGUAUUUGCAUUAAUAACCUGUUUAUUUACUUGUAACUUGCUUUGACGCCUCACACACUGGAACUCCCCCUUCCACCGAACAAGAAGGACUAUAUAAAGAGGAGCGCACAAGAGAAUCAUUGCCUUUUCAUCACUGCCUUUUCCCUACACGGCCCGGGUUGUUGUGUGCUGAGCUCUCUCUCACACGUCGCUAUUUACUUAAAAAGAUUUUCCUAACGUCAUGUAUUGCGAUUGGUUCCCGUCACUUCUGUUGAAAUUCUUGAUAGGCUAGGAAGUUUGUUCCUCGAGGUAAUAUUGUGGUGAGCCUAUCCUACCUGUAUGCUUGUCCUAACCUUAGCAGCACCUACAUUAUUACCUCGACAUUCCCCUCCCACGGAUUCUGCCCUCGUUGGCAGCAUUGAAGGAACGUAGCUAUGAUAUAGCAGCUACCCGUCCACUGAACUAGAGAGAGAGAGAGCCAGCCAUCCCGUUAUACUAAUACUACGCACCAUCGAUCAUCGUCACAGUUACUGAGCUGAUUUAGGGUACGGACUUUACUAAGUGCUGUUUGUUCGACUAAUUAGUGAUUGUAUUUUUAUGUACCUUUUUCAUGAUUCUCA